rfam:Ictidomys tridecemlineatus contig058502, whole genome shotgun sequence.
UGGGUUGUGGCUCAGUGGUAGAGCGCUUGCCUAGCAAGUGAGGAGCAUUGGGUUCAGUCCUCAGCACCACAU